GCGUUGGCCCUAACGUUUUUUGUGGUGGCUGUGAUCGUGCUGGGGCAACCACUGUUGCUGCUGCCAUUGUUGGUGGAUUUUCCGAUGUUUCUGGAACUGCUGGAACGGCAACUGCCUGGGAUUGGAUGAGCGAGUGCCUGGCUGCAGGAUCCCUCGAAAGAUUGGCGUUUCGGC